GUACUUCGCUUAUUGGUUGAAGUGGAAUGGGUUCGACUCCCGUGCUAUCCACGUAAUUAAAGAGGUAAGCAUUUAAUAUUUUAUUUGUUUACCUUUUCAACAAAAAACAUAAUCACCCGUAGAGACUACAACCCAACUCUCACAUCUUUUUAAAGAUUGUGAGAAUGAUAUAGUCCGAUCUUCAUGGUAACAUGAAG
rnacentral:autocatalytically_spliced_intron from 1 species